AUCAACUCGAGACGGCGGGGUAGAGGCCCGCCGCGGUAACGACGGGUAACGGGGAAUCAGGGUUCGAUUCCGGAGAGGGAGCCCGAGAAACGGCUACCACUUCCAAUGAAGGCAGCAGGCGCGCAACUUACCCUAAUCUCGAUUCGAGGAGGUAGUGACAAGAAAUACCGAUGCGGGACCCUACGGGUGCCGCGUUCGGAAUGAGUACGAUUCGAACCACCUAACGAGGAACGAUCGGAGGGCAAGUCUGGUGCCAGCAGCCGCGGUAAUUCCAGCUCCAAUAGCGUACGUUAAAGUUGCUGCAGUUAAAAAGCUCGUAGUUGAACGUUCGGGUUCCGCGGGACGGGGCCGCCCCGCGAGGGACGGCGCCGCCCCGGGGCUCGUGAUAUCUCAUCUCGCCGCCCGUCGCGAGGCGGACGGAGGGGAUGGAUGAGGUUACCUGGAAAAAAUCGGGG
rnacentral:rRNA from 1 species